UCUCCUGGAAAAGGGUGGUAAUGCCGGAUGCUCCAUCACAUCGCAUGGUGUUUUGGGAAAGCCUUUGCGGCAUGGGAUGGGGUCGCGUCCUAUCAGCUUGAUGGCGGGGUAACGGCCCACCAUGGCUUCGACGGGUAGCCGGCCUGAGAGGGCGACCGGCCACAUUGGGACUGAGAUACGGCCCAGACUCCUACGGGAGGCAGCAGUGGGGAAUAUUGCACAAUGGGCGCAAGCCUGAUGCAGCGACGCCGCGUGAGGGAUGGAGGCCUUCGGGUUGUAAACCUCUUUUGUUAGGGAGCAAGGCAUUUUGUGUUGAGUGUACCUUUCGAAUAAGCACCGGCUAACUACGUGCCAGCAGCCGCGGUAAUACGUAGGGUGCAAGCGUUAUCCGGAAUUAUUGGGCGUAAAGGGCUCGUAGGCGGUUCGUCGCGUCCGGUGUGAAAGUCCAUCGCUUAACGGUGGAUCCGCGCCGGGUACGGGCGGGCUUGAGUGCGGUAGGGGAGACUGGAAUUCCCGGUGUAACGGUGGAAUGUGUAGAUAUCGGAAAAGAACACCA
rnacentral:rRNA from 1 species